GACGAACGCUGGCGGCGUGCUUAACACAUGCAAGUCGAACGGAAAGGCCCUGCUAGUUUGCGGUUCUCGAUUGCCGAUCGCGUGCGUAACAGGAGAGCAACCUGCUCUAGACUUUCGGAUAACUUCACGUAACUGGGGUUAAUACCGUAUCGCAUCUCCUCUUGCAUUGAGGGGGUUGGAUAGUUUCGGCGGGUGUGGAUGGAUUCGCGGGUGACCAGCUUGUUGGUGGGGUAGGUGCUUACCAAGGCUUAGACCGGUAGCCGGCCUGAGAGGGUGACCGGGGACAUUGGGCCUGCGGUACGGCCCAGACGCCAACGGGGGGCAGCAGUGGGGAAUAUUGUACAAUGAGCGGGAGUGUGAUGCAGCGACGCCGCGUGCGGAAUGACGGCCUUCGGGUUGUAAACCGCUGUCGCCUGUGACGCAGCGUGUGUGACGGUAAUCGGUGAAGAAGCACCGGCUAACUACGUG
rnacentral:rRNA from 1 species